rnacentral:rRNA from 1 species
UCGAACGCGUCUCCGUUAAUGAUUUUAGGUGCUUGCACUUGAAAGAUUUAACAUUGAGACGAGUGGCGAACUGGUGAGUAACACGUGGGUAACCUGCCCUUGAAGUAGGGGAUAACACUUGGAAACAGGUGCUAAUACCGUAUAACAACCAAAACCACCUGGUUUUGGUUUAAAAGACGGCUUCGGCUGUCACUUUAGGACGGACCCGCGGCGUAUUAGCUUGUUGGUAAGGUAACGGCCUACCAAGGCGAUGAUACGUAGCCGACCUGAGAGGGUAAUCGGCCACAUCGGGACUGAGACACGGCCCAAACUCCUACGGGAGGCAGCAGUAGGGAAUCUUCCACAAUGGACGAAAGUCUGAUGGAGCAACGCCGCGUGAGUGAUGAAGGGUUUCGGCUCGUAAAACUCUGUUGUUGGAGAAGAACAGGUGUCAGAGUAACUGUUGACAUCUUGACGGUAUCCAACCAGAAAGCCACGGCUAACUACGUGCCAGCAGCCGCGGUAAUACGUAGGUGGCAAGCGUUGUCCGGAUUUAUUGGGCGUAAAGCGAGCGCAGGCGGUUUUUUAGGUCUGAUGUGAAAGCCUUCGGCUUAACCGGAGAAGUGCACCGGAAACCGGGAGACUUGAGUGCAGAAGAGGACAGUGGAACUCCAUGUGUAGCGGUGAAAUGCGUAGAUAUAUGGAAGAACACCAGUGGCGAAGGCGGCUGUCUGGUCUGUAACUGACGCUGAGGCUCGAAAGCAUGGGUAGCGAACAGGAUUAGAUACCCUGGUAGUCCAUGCCGUAAACGAUGAGUGCUAAGUGUUGGAGGGUUUC